GUUGAGGUCUGUCCUGAUGGGACUUUUUCUGUCGACCUACAUCAUUGGAAAUGCCUCACAGAGUAACUGGGUGGCUUCCUUUAUUCAGAGAAUGACACGUGAGAUCUGUGGGUAAGAACUACAAGACAGAG
ensembl:snoRNA